rnacentral:rRNA from 1 species
GGGUAAUUUAUUACCUGCUGACGAGCGGCGGACGGCUGAGUAACGCGUGGGAACAUGCCCCAAAGUGAGGAAUAAGCACCGGAAACGGUGUCUAAUGCCGCAUAUGAUCUUCGGAUUAAAGGAUUUAUCCGCUUUGGGAGUGGCCCGCGUUCGAUUAGGUAGUUGGUGAGGUAAAGGCUCACCAAGCCCACGAUCGAUAACUGGUCUGAGAGGAUGAUCAGUCAGACUGGAACUGAGAUACGGUCCAGACUCCUACGGGAGGCAGCAGUGAGGAAUCUUCCACAAUGGGCGAAAGCCUGAUGGAGCGACGCCGCGUGCAGGAUGAAGGCUUUCGGGUCGUAAACUGCUUUUAUAAGUGAAGAAUAUGACGGUAACUUAUGAAUAAGCACCGGCUAACUACGUGCCAGCAGCCGCGGUCAUACGUAGGGUGCAAGCAUUAUCCGGAGUGACUGGGCGUAAAGAGUUGCGUAGGUGGACAAGUAAGCGAAUAGUGAAAUUUGACGGCUCAACCGUACAAACUAUUAUUCGAACUGCUUGUCUCGAGAAUGGUAGAGGUAAUUGGAAUUUCUUGUGUAGGAGUGAAAUCCGUAGAUAUAAGAAGGAACACCAAUGGCGUAGGCAGAUUACUGGACCAUUUCUGACACUGAGGCACGAAAGCGUGGGGAGCGAACCGGAUUAGAUACCCGGGUAGUCCACGCCGUAAACUAUGGAUACUAGCUGUUGGAGGUAUCGACCCCUUCAGUAGCGAAGCUAACGCGUUAAGUAUCCCGCCUGUGGAGUACGGUCGCAAGACUAAAACAU